CACACCGCCCGUCACGUCAUGGGAGUUGUCAAUGCUUGAAGUCCGUGGGCUGACCGGUGGAGGCAGCCGGCCACGGUAGGGUCAGCGACUGGGGUG
rnacentral:rRNA from 1 species